rnacentral:rRNA from 1 species
GAUGAACGCUGGCGGCGUGCCUAAUACAUGCAAGUCGAACGCGCAGCGAGAAGUGCUUGCACCUUUCAAGCGAGUGGCGAACGGGUGAGUAACACGUGGAUAACCUGCCUCAAGGCUGGGGAUAACAUUUGGAAACAGAUGCUAAUACCGAAUAAAACUUAGUAUCGCGUGAUAUCAAGUUAAAAGGCGCUACGGCGUCACCUAGAGAUGGAUCCGCGGUGCAUUAGUUAGUUGGUGGGGUAAAGGCUUACCAAGACGAUGAUGCAUAGCCGAGUUGAGAGACUGAUCGGCCACAUUGGGACUGAGACACGGCCCAAACUCCUACGGGAGGCUGCAGUAGGGAAUCUUCCACAAUGGGCGCAAGCCUGGUGGAGCAACGCCGCGUGUGUGAUGAAGGCUUUCGGGUCGUAAAGCACUGUUGUAUGGGAAGAAAUGCUAAAAUAGGGAAUGAUUUUAGUUUGACGGUACCAUACCAGAAAGGGACGGCUAAAUACGUGCCAGCAGCCGCAGUAA